AUGCUCACUUCGGCAGCACAUAUACUAAAACUGGAACGAUACAGAGAAGAUUAGCAUGGCCCCUGUGCAAGGAUGACACGCAAAUUUGUGAAGCGUUCCAUAUUUUU
ensembl:snRNA U6 U6 spliceosomal RNA